rnacentral:sRNA from 1 species
GCCGGGUGCGAUGACACACACCUGUAAUCCCAGCAGCCCGGGAGGCUGAGACAGGAGACUUGCAAAUUCAAAGCCAGCCUCAGCAGUGGCGAGGUGCUCAGCAACUCAGUGAGACUCUGUCUGUA